AACGAACGCUGGCGGCAUGCCUAACACAUGCAAGUCGAACGAGACCUUCGGGUCUAGUGGCGCACGGGUGCGUAACGCGUGGGAACCUGCCCUUAGGUUCGGAAUAACUCCCCGAAAGGGGUGCUAAUACCGGAUAAUGUCUUCGGACCAAAGAUUUAUCGCCUUUGGAUGGGCCCGCGUUGGAUUAGCUAGUUGGUAGGGUAAAAGCCUACCAAGGCGACGAUCCAUAGCUGGUCUGAGAGGAUGAUCAGCCACACUGGGACUGAGACACGGCCCAGACUCCUACGGGAUGGAGCAGUGGGGAAUACUGGACAACGGGCGAAAGCCUGAUCCAGCAAUGACGCGUGAGUGAUGAAGGCCUGAGGGUUGUAAAGCUCUUUUACCCGGGAUGAUAAUGACAGUACCGGGAGAAUAAGCUCCGGCUAACUCCGUG
rnacentral:rRNA from 1 species